rnacentral:rRNA from 1 species
AUUCCAGCUCCAAUAGCGUAUAUUAAAGUUGUUGCAGUUAAAACGCUCGUAGUCGGAUUUCGGGUCGGUUGCGCCGGUCUGCCGAUGGGUAUGCACUGGCGGAGUUGUCCUUUCUCCCGGAGACCGCGCCUACUCUUAACUGAGCGGGCGCGGGAGACGGGUCUUUUACUUUGAAAAAAUCAGAGUGUUUCAAGCAGGCAGUCGCUCUUGCAUGGAUUAGCAUGGGAUAAUGAAAUAGGACUCUGGUGCUAUUUUGUUGGUUUCGAACACCGGAGUAAUGAUUAACAGGGACAGUCAGGGGCACUCGUAUUCCGCCGAGAGAGGUGAAAUUCUCAGACCAGCGGAAGACGAACCACUGCGAAAGCAUUUGCCAGGGAUGUUUUCAUCG